UUUUUAAAUGUCCAUUUUGCACUUGAAUACGACACCACAUACAUCCUGCACGGAACGUACACUAGAGGCGCCAGAGCUUUUCAGGAGCCUUUACAGAAGGCGGGGUGUGAUGAUGCCGAUGCCACUGCCAUUGCCUGCGCUCCCACUUUGUGGCCAGUCUUCAUUCAUAUUCAGUAGCACCAGCACUCGGAGGACAGCAGCCAUGAUUCACAUCGAUCUUACAACGAUGGCAUGCGUGAUUUCUAUAUGCCUAUGUGUGGGAAGUCCUUUGCCUUUUCAAAAGUUGUACGAGUGUCCCACAACGCAGGAAAUGCUCUGUGAGAACAUGGUCACCUCUAAGGGAUUUACCUACAAGGUGCCUCAGGACAAGCUUCCAGACUUGAGAGAUCGCGAUUGUGAACAUGGGUGGUUUUAUCUGAAUGAAACAUUUAUUGUUGACUCAACGCAGCCUGGGGAGAAUUUAGGAUUUGUAGUGGCUGUGACUUCUGAGAACCUGACAGUCAGCACCUGCAUAAACCUUCAAUGGCAACUUCACUGUGAAAACAUUAAGCUUCACUGUACUGUUAAUUAUAGAGUGAAACAUAAAGCGCCACAUGAAACCCUGCCAGGAAAUUACACAUCUUCAGGAGACAAAGGAGAUGCAAGUUCUCCUGGCUGGCUUAUUGCUGUAAUCGUGGGGAGCGUGAUUGUGUCUGUUCUCAUCAUAUCUGCUACCAUUUGGUUUUGUUUGAAGAAGGCAAGAAAGUCAGCGUACACUCCUCCAGGUGAAGAUGAAUCUGAGGAAGAAUUCUGAAUUGUCAAAGUCUAAGCAAUAGGUCAGCCAGAUUAGUCUUAGCUCUGUGAAAAGUGUAUCUUAACACUGUAAAGCCCACUGUUGCAGAAUUACAACAUCACUUUUAACAAUUUAAAAAAAAGGCCUACAAAUGGUUUUUUUUCUUCUCAAGACCACAUUUACAUAGUUAAUGGGUUCUAUUGUUUGUCCUCACAAUGCUUUUGGAUAGAAGUGUUUAUAGGUCCGGUCAUCUGGCCAUGAACUCACGUAUACCUGCAAACUUUGCGUGGAGCUCAUCUCCUUUUUUUGCAUGACUGGAUUUGUCAAGAUUCAAGUAAGAAAAAUUCCUUACAUAUUUUUUUUUUGUGUGUGUGUGUGCGUUUAUUACAAUGUCUAGAACACAUACAUAUUUAGUUAUUUUGGAAAACAUUAAUCAAAUUUAAUUUAGAGCUUGUUAAGUCUAUGUUGUAAUUCUACAACGUUGGGCCAGAGUGGUAGUUAAAAUAGCCUGUGCUCCUUACACAUUACAUAAGGACACUGCCCUUCUCACAUGGUCACAAAUUGAAAUUUAAACUGUUAGAUGAUUCAUUGUAACUAAGUUCUAAAUGUGCUUUUCUGUUAAAUUAGUACUUAGUUUAGCUUAGACCAUAAUUAAAUGCAGGAAUUAAUUGUAUGUGGUAUUUGAAACUUCAUCAUCUAGAGCAGUAUCUGAAACUCCCUGUAUCUGUGUAGUUUUUAUUUAUUUUUUUUUUAACUUCUAAAUGAUCCUGAAAUUUUUUAUGAGUGUUGCCCAAGUAGCAUUUUAUAGCAUUAAAAGAUAUAUAUAUAUAUAUAUAUAAAAAAACAGAAUGUUCUGAAUGUUCUGGAUUUACAACAAUAUUACAACAUUUCCCUAAAAACUUACUAAAAUAUAAAAAAAAAAUUGAAAAAUCUUUAAUUUAUACAUCAGAGACCUCCUAAAACAUUUUUUUUCUAUAUUUGGGUAGGGUUAAGCGUCCAAAAGUGUCUGAAUACAUUUUAAGGCAAAUUGAAUAUAUUCACAACAAUUACUUGUGUGUGCACCCUAGACCACAACAGUCUUAGGGCCAGUUCAGGCUACGAUUUUAUCCCAAAUUUGACACGAUCUGCUUUAUGUAGAGUGUUGUGGGGAUUUGUAAAUGACAAUGGGCAUCUGGACGCAGGAUUCAAAAAUUUUAUCUUGUGUAGAGUGUGGACAACAACCGAUGCCACGUCUGCGAUGCUUCACAACAUCAACACAGAAAGACUUAUGUUUAAAUAUCUGUGACACAAAGCAAUAGGAGCACAGAAGCGCCUUCUUACAUGCUUUCAAACAAGCCAAAACAAAUGAGAGACAACCAGGGGCGUCAUGCACUCAUUAUUCUUGAGGGAGCAUGAGCUAUUUAUUUAUUUAUUUUUUCAAACUGAAUUAUCAUGAAAUAUCUUAAUUCUCACCUUUAUAGAUUAUGAUCUAUAGUGGCGGAUGGUCAAAGUAACUUAUAAAAACCUGUCUGUUUACUUAAUUAACAGAUAUGGGUGUCAUGCCAUAACAUACUUUUAAUACGACUGAGUUUAUAUUUAAUGUAAAUUUAACAUUGCAAGUUAAUGUGAAUAAAAACAUUGCAAGUAACAUUAUCAAAGAACUUUUUCACUGACAGUCUAGUUCGAGCACUCUCAAAAACUCCCAUUAAUAUCAAUGAAGCUUUUUUCUUCUCUCAUUGGAAUAUGUAAAUUAAUUAUAUAUCCGUUGUUGUCGUUCUUUCGUUUUAUUCUGUGUGUGAUUGUAUUCAAACUGUAUUUUAUAUAGAAAAUAUUAAUCUGCAAUUGUUUUGACUUUUGGAAGCUACAUUCAAAAUCCACUUGGCUCAAAAAUCUGAGGGGGCACGUUUGUAUAAAAAAUCGAGUAGUUUUAAAUCAUUUGUUUCAUAUAAUUUUAUGAUUUGUCUGAUAGUUGUGAUAUUGCAAAUAAAUACAAAAUGUAUAUGCAUGAAUGUCAGAGCUGUUUUCAGAUGAAAGUAAAUAACUGGUAACUGGAUUGAAUAAUUAUCACCAUUGUUUGUUCAGUAACAGAUAAGUGCAUGGCAUAUUUUAGGUCAGCAGCCACCUGUUCUGAUAAUGCCAAUGUGAUGAUUCAUCGCGGUUUCCUCCCUUGGCAGUCACAGUUGUAUCUCAGUCACACCUCUUGCAGAAACAUCCAGUUUCCC
ensembl:lncRNA